rnacentral:rRNA from 1 species
UGGGGAAUAUUGCACAAUGGGCGCAAGCCUGAUGCAGCCAUGCCGCGUGUAUGAAGAAGGCCUUCGGGUUGUAAAGUACUUUCAGUCGGGAGGAAGGUGGUAAGGUUAAUAACCUUGGCAAUUGACGUUACCGACAGAAGAAGCACCGGCUAACUCCGUGCCAGCAGCCGCGGUAAUACGGAGGGUGCAAGCGUUAAUCGGAAUUACUGGGCGUAAAGCGCACGCAGGCGGUUGAUUGAGUCAGAUGUGAAAUCCCCGGGCUUAACCCGGGAAUUGCAUCUGAUACUGGUUAGCUAGAGUCUUGUAGAGGGGGGUAGAAUUCCAUGUGUAGCGGUGAAAUGCGUAGAGAUGUGGAGGAAUACCGGUGGCGAAGGCGGCCCCCUGGACAAAGACUGACGCUCAGGUGCGAAAGCGUGGGGAGCAAACAGG